GCAAGACCAGCAGAGACACCACCCAGCUAAGCCCCUGGUACCUCGGAGAAUUGUGAGAAAUAAGACGAUGGUGGUUGUUUUCAGCAACUAGGUUUGUAGAUAGUUUGUUGUAUGGAGCAGAUAACCAAAAUAGAUGGCUCCUUUGGGAAAGGGGCACAUAAAUGAAAAUCAAAAGACUGAUCGGUAGCCAGGGGGUGAAGGGGACCCCUGGGGGAGGCAAGCCUUGGCAGAGGGACCAGAAAAGAGCUACCAGAGGCCGGUGUGGCACAACUGCACAGCGAUGAAGAUGGUGGCAGCAGUGGAGGUAUCAUUUAGAGUCCUUUGCCGUACGGGCCCUUCUCCUCUCGAAGUUGCUGGAACUGACUAUAACUGUCCAGCAGCUGCCCCUGUUCUAGGCUGUCAGCCUUGCCUGGCUCAAGGUCAAGGGGCCCAUCCUCGGCUGGAAUACAAGCUCUGCUCUUUAGUCCUGGAAAGCACAUGCAGGAGCAAACUGGGGGAGAGGCAUUCUCAUGUCUCAUGACUGCUUCCUCAUGCUGGUCUCCCCCUUCCCCACUUAAAGAUAAAAAGGGAGAUCGAACAUGAAA